rnacentral:rRNA from 1 species
GGAUUAAUACCGGAUAUUCUUAUUUAAUCGCAUGAUUUUUUAAGGAAAGGUCAGCCGAACUAAGAUGGGCUCGCGUUCUAUCAGCUAGUUGGUAGGGUAAUAGCCUACCAAGGCUACGACGGAUAGCUGGUCUGAGAGGACGAUCAGCCACACUGGGACUGAGACACGGCCCAGACUUCUACGGG